rnacentral:rRNA from 1 species
GAUGAACGCUGGCGGCGUGCUUAACACAUGCAAGUCGAGCGAAGCGCUUUGGCGGAUUUCUUCGGAUUGAAGCCUUGGUGACUGAGCGGGCGUACGGGUCGAAGGUACGCCGUAGGGUUAACCGUGCCUCAUACAGGGGGAUAACAGUUGGAAACGACUGCUAAUACCGCAUAAGCGCACAGUACCGCAAUGGUACGGUGUGAAAAACUCCGGUGGUAUGAGAUGGACCCGCGUCUGAUUAGCUAGUUGGUGGGGUAACGGCCUACCAAGGCGACGAUCAGUAGCCGGCCUGAGAGGGUAGGAACGGCCACAUUGGACGUGAGACGACGGCCGACG